GUGCCUCGAGAAGCGCAAUGUGCUGCGCGAGAAGCUGGCACGACCGCUGCCAAUACCUUUGGGGCGAGUCCGCGCACGAAGCGGGACAGACGCCCAACACCAAGCGGAGCUUGAGGGGGUAAAUGACGCUCGAACAGGCAUGCCCCACGGAAUACCAUGGGGCGCAAUGUGCGUUCAAAGAUUCGAUGAUUCACUGAAUUCUGCAAUUCACACUACUUAUCGCAUUUCGCUGCGUUCUUCAUCGAUGCACCUGUACCAUAGA
rnacentral:misc_RNA from 1 species